CAGCGGAACUGGUAUUGUGAAACUCGGGAUAUCCGCUUUAAAAAGUCGCUUGUUUGACGAUAAAAAGACGAGAUCUCCAAGUUUCGUCGAAAGAUCAAAGAACGAUUCGUGGGAUAUCUAUGGGGGAUAUUAUAUCGAUUCUAUAAAUGAUAUGUAUAUUUUCCAACAGAUUUAAUUACUCCAUAUUCCUCGUCGUUGAUAUUCAGAAAUAAAUUUCGAAUAAUUAAUGUCGAAGAAGGACAGAGUUAUUGUGUUCUGUGAUCUGAUAUGUUUUUUAUUACUGGAAAGAAAGAAAAAUCCACAGAAUUCAACAGAAUUUCCUCGUAUCAUCACGUUAGUUGGCACAACAACAAGCAUUCUAAGGGAAUUCUCGAUGGAAUGGAAAAGGACUAUUCAUUCGUGAAAAUUUCGUAUCGAAGCACGAUCGAAGCAAGCGAUCGACGAGAAUUCGAGGAGGAAAUAGGUGAAUUUCCAUGGUAGGCCUUCUACUGUCACUUUGUCGCGAUCGAGCCGAUCUUCGACCUCAUUAAGGAUCACAUCCGACAGUAUUAUCGUCGGUGAGGCAUAAAUGAAGUGUACAUUAAGGUGAACGAGAAGAUAUUGAGCAA